rnacentral:rRNA from 1 species
UAUCCCCUGUGUGCCUUGCCGCGUGUGUGAAGAAGGCCUUCGGGUUGUAAAGCACUUUCAGUAGGGAGGAAGGUAGUGUAGUUAACACCUGCACUAUUUGACGUUACCUACAGAAGAAGCACCGGCUAACUCCGUGCCAGCAGCCGCGGUAAUACGGAGGGUGCGAGCGUUAAUCGGAAUUACUGGGCGUAAAGCGCAUGCAGGCGGCCUGUUAAGUCAGAUGUGAAAGCCCGGGGCUUAACCUCGGAAUUGCAUUUGAAACUGGCAGGCUAGAGUCUUGUAGAGGGGGGUAGGAAUUUCAGGUGUAGCGGUGAAAUGCGUAGAGAUCUGAAGGAAUACCAGUGGCGAAGGCGGCCCCCUGGACAAAGACUGACGCUCAGAUGCGAAAGCGUGGGGAGCAAACAGGAUUAGAUACCCUGGUAG